rnacentral:rRNA from 1 species
UACAGAGGGUGCGAGCGUUGUCCGGAAUCACUGGGCGUAAAGGGCGCGUAGGCGGCUUGAUAAGUAGGGGGUGAAAUCUUGCGGCUCAACUGCAAGGCUGCCUCCUAAACUGUCAGGCUUGAGCACAGUAGAGGCAGGUGGAAUUCCCGGUGUAGCGGUGGAAUGCGUAGAGAUCCGGAAGAACACCGGUGGCGAAGGCGGCCUGCUGGGCAGUUGCUGACACUGAGGCGCGACAGCGUGGGGAGCAAACAGG